UAAACUUUGAAAACAUACAUUCUAGUGAAUAAUUAGAGAUAUUCUAUUCAUAAACUUUGAAAACAUACAUUCUAGUGAAUAAUGAGAGAGAUUAUAUUCAUAAACUUUGAAAACAUACAUUCUAGUGAAUUAUUUCUAGAAACGUUUUGCACACAUUCACAUUCGAAACUGUUGAACUUCAAUUCUUUGAGAGAACAACAUCAGCAACAACAGUAACAACAACAACAACAAAGUAUUUCAAUAAAAUAUCGCACAAAAAAUUAAUCUUUACAAAAUUCAAACAUGAAAAAUCAAAGUAAGAAGCUUGCUCAAAGUUCGAUAAAUGAAAAACAUGAUCAGGUUAGGAAGACACUGCCAAAUCUUGGAAACAUUGCCAGGAAGAGGAAAUAGAGUUCUAGGCAAUUGUUCAAAGACAACACCAUAAUGGUUGGAUGAGUUAUAUGUAAAGGUGGACACAAUUGGCAAACACCUUGUGCACCCAACCAUUCACUGAAGGACGCAGAAUGAAUGUAAAAUAAAAACAAGACCACUUAAGAUACAAAAGUAAAUACACAAAUAAUACCUCCCCCCCCCUUUUUA